rnacentral:lncRNA from 1 species
ACGGGACACUAGCCUGAGCACUGCAACUAAAACAAACAGACAGGGACACUGCCUGAGCACUGCAACUAAACAAACAAACAAACAGACAGAGACACUAGCCUGAGCACUGCAACUAAAACAAACAAAACAAACAGACAGAGACACUAGCCUGAGCACUGUAGCUAAAACAAACAGACAGAGACACUAGCCUGAGCACUGUAGCUAAAACAAACAGACAGAGACACUAGCCUGAGCACUGUAAAAAAAAACAAACAGGCAAAGAGACUAGCCUGAGCACUGCAACUAAAAACAAACAGACUAGCCUGAGCACUGCAACUAAAAACAAACAGACUAGCCUGAGCACUGCAACUAAAAACAAACAGACUAGCCUGAGCACUGCAACUAAAACAAGACAGACAGACAAAGAGACAGGGACACAAGCCUGAGCACUGCAACUAAAAACAAACAAGACAGACUAGCCUGAGCACUGCAGCUAAAACAAAC